rnacentral:rRNA from 1 species
GACGUAGGGUGCGAGCGUUUGUCCGGAUUUAUUGGGCGUAAAGAGCUCGUAGGCGGCUCGUCGCGUCGACCGUGAAAACCCGCGGCUUAACUGCGGGCUUGCGGUUGAUACGGGCGGGCUAGAGUUCGGUAGGGGAGACUGGAAUUCCUGGUGUAGCGGUGAAAUGCGCAGAUAUCAGGAGGAACACCGGUGGCGAAGGCGGGUCUCUGGGCAGUAACUGACGCUGAGGAGCGAAAGCGUGGGGAGCGAACAGG